UACAGAGGGUGCGAGCGUUAAUCGGAAUUACUGGGCGUAAAGGGUGCGUAGGUGGUUUCGUAAGUUAGGUGUGAAAGUCCUGGGCUUAACCUGGGGAUUGCGCCUGAUACUGCGAAGCUAGAGUACUGUAGAGGAAAGUGGAAUUUCCGGUGUAGCGGUGAAAUGCGUAGAUAUCGGAAGGAACAUCGGUGGCGAAGGCGACUUUCUGGACAGCUACUGACACUGAGGCACGAAAGCAUGGAGAGCAAACAGG
rnacentral:rRNA from 1 species